GGUUCGAUGGUGUAGUUGGUUAUCACGUCUGUCUCACAUUUCUCAACGCCUGGGCGCGAACAGCGUAAAAUGGGUGCACAGGAGGUCUCCGGUUCGAGCCCGGGUCGAACCA